rnacentral:rRNA from 1 species
GACGAACGCUGGCGGCGUGCUUAACACAUGCAAGUCGUACGGUAAGGCCCUUUCGGGGGUACACGAGUGGCGAACGGGUGAGUAACACGUGAGUAACCUGCCCACAACUUUGGGAUAACGCUAGGAAACUGGUGCUAAUACUGGAUAUGUGCUCCUGCUGCAUGGUGGGGGUUGGAAAGCUCCGGCGGUUGUGGAUGGACUCGCGGCCUAUCAGCUUGUUGGUGGGGUAGUGGCCUACCAAGGCGGCGACGGGUAGCCGGCCUGAGAGGGUGACCGGCCACAUUGGGACUGAGAUACGGCCCAGACUCCUACGGGAGGCAGCAGUGGGGAAUAUUGCACAAUGGGCGCAAGCCUGAUGCAGCAACGCCGCGUGCGGGAUGACGGCCUUCGGGUUGUAAACCGCUUUCAGCAGGGACGAAGCUUUUUGUAACGGUACCUGCAGAAGAAGCACCGGCUAACUACGUG